GACGUCCACUGUGAACUGGUAGCUGUCUCCCAUUGUCUUGAUCUUCCCUGCUGUCCCUGUCCGACCUGGAAACACAACCAAGACAUAUGGCCUCAUCCCAGUAAUUUUCUGUGUGUGAGGUCACGGCGCUGGCAGUGUGUCCAACAUCCCCCCUCCCAUCCCGCCCUGUCUUCCCUCCAUCGGCAGCCACCUCCUCCUUUUUCCGGAGGCACGGGCAUGCCAGUCACAGCACCAACAUACCCUGCUCUGCCCUACUGCUACUACCCACCAAACAACCCUCCCAUUUGCCCUGUGUUGUCCUGUUGAGAAGCUGUCGGGUCAAACACAUGGAAGCACAUGCGCGCAGAGCCUUAAAGAGAGUUCAGCAGGCAAUCUACACACAUGAAUACACGUGUGUGACACAUCUAAUACAGCAUGAAUUAUCCACAGACAAUUUCAUUCAGCAAUGGCAUUUGAUACUAUAUGUAUGGAAUAAGUAGAAUAUUACAACCUAAUAUAUCAUGUAUAGCUAUAUAUAUAUGUUAUGCUGGUCCACAAUUGGGAAUUCAUGUAAAAUCAACUCACUGGGAAAUCCCAAGGCAUCCGUUCCAGGACGCAUGAAAGAGCCAAAGUCCUCUGCAAAGAGCCCCCUGCUCUUCUCCAUAUAUGGGUUGUUGGAGGAUGAGGAGGAAGAAGAGGUCUGCUGGAAGCUGCGCUCCGAUCGGUAGGCAGAGGAGUUGGUCACACUCAUUGAUGGCUGUCUGCCUGAGAGGUGGGAAAAGGAUCCGCUUUUUAAAGGGAGAGCGAGAGAAAGGGAAGAUAUCCUUGUUGUUCAGUCUUUGCCCAGUCCACUCAGUUUACAUCAGAGGGAAAGUGGGCAGAUCUUCGGGUAGUUCGUAAAAUGCUAUCUUUACUUUCCCACUAUUUAAAAAUGUGUGUCUGUGUCUGUCUUUUGGAUAAGUGUGUCGGUUAAGUGUGUCCACGAGCAUAGCCAGUCAGUCACUCAUACAGGCUCUUAUAUAUUUGGAUCCAAGCUAUGUUUUUUUUUCUGUGUGUGGUGGGGGUCACGUGUGCGUUUCUGAAGGAUAACAGUGAGCUAUAUUUAUCAUGUGAGGGAGAGAGAGAGCGGGUCUGGGGUCGGAAAAGUUAUGGGCGAUGAGGGCUUGAGGUUAAGAGAGAGAGAGGGGCUCUGACAAAGAGAGAGAGAGAGAGACGGUGAGAGGAAGGCAAGAGAAGGGGAUGAGUCAACAGUUGCCAUUCCAGACACUCAAUACCCCAAAUAGUUAUCUACUUCUUUCCUCUACUCUCCCUCUAUUUGUUUUUUUUCUCUGUAAGCAUCAGUUUCUCUUUUUUGUCAUGAUAUUUGAUCAUAUUGUGAAUCAGUGGUUACAUAACAUGUGCUCUUGGCCAUAAAACUUCUGCUGCCUGCUAUUCACACACAUAUUGGUUACAAUUGGUGUUAUUAUACUUAUUUCAAGUAAUUACUAUUACAAAACUAGUGGUAACUAAUUUGAAACAAUUAGUACUUGAGGUUCAUAUCUAAAUGAAUUAACUGUGUAUCCGUUUCUAAAUAUGCUGUUUCUAAUGAAUUAAUAAAGUGCAGCUAACCUGUUGUA